rnacentral:rRNA from 1 species
GACGAACGCUGGCGGCGUGCUUAACACAUGCAAGUCGAACGAAGAGCGAUGGAAGCUUGCUUCUCUCAAUCUUAGUGGCGAACGGGUGAGUAACGCGUAAUCAACCUGCCCUUCAGAGGGGGACAACAGUUGGAAACGACUGCUAAUACCGCAUACGAUCUAAUCUCGGCAUCGAGGAUAGAUGAAAGGUGGCCUCUACAUGUAAGCUAUCACUGAAGGAGGGGAUUGCGUCUGAUUAGCUAGUUGGAGGGGUAACGGCCCACCAAGGCGAUGAUCAGUAGCCGGUCUGAGAGGAUGAACGGCCACAUUGGGACUGAGACACGGCCCAGACUCCUACGGGAGGCAGCAGUGGGGAAUCUUCCGCAAGGGACGAAAGUCUGACGGAGCAACGCCGCGUGAGUGAUGACGGCCUUCGGGUUGUAAAGCUCUGUUAAUCGGGACGAAAGGCCUUCUUGCGAAUAGUGAGAAGGAUUGACGGUACCGGAAGAGAAAGCCACGGCUAACUACGUG